rnacentral:rRNA from 1 species
UACGGAGGAUGCAAGCGUUAUCCGGAAUGAUUGGGCGUAAAGCGUCCGCAGGUGGCUAUGUAAGUCUGCUGUUAAAGAGUGAGGCUCAACCUCAUAAGAGCAGUGGAAACUACAUAGCUAGAGUGCGUUCGGGGCAGAGGGAAUUCCUGGUGUAGCGGUGAAAUGCGUAGAUAUCAGGAAGAACGCCGGUGGCGAAAGCGCUCUGCUAGGCCGCAACUGACACUGAGGGACGAAAGCUAGGGGAGCGAAUGGG